UACGUAGGUGGCAAGCGUUGUCCGGAUUUACUGGGCGUAAAGAGCGCGCAGGCGGUCGUUCAAGUCGCGUGUGAAAGCCCCCGGCUCAACUGGGGAGGGUCACGCGAUACUGAUCGACUCGAAGGCAGGAGAGGGAAGUGGAAUUCCCGGUGUAGUGGUGAAAUGCGUAGAUAUCUGGAGGAAUACCGGUGGCGAAGGCGGCAUCCUGGACCGGCAUUGACGCUGAGGAGCGAAAGCUAGGGGAGCAAACGGGG
rnacentral:rRNA from 1 species